AGCGGCGGACGGGUGAGUAAUGCUUGGGAACAUGCCUUGAGGUGGGGGACAACAGUUGGAAACGACUGCUAAUACCGCAUAAUGUCUACGGACCAAAGGGGGCUUCGGCUCUCGCCUUUAGAUUGGCCCAAGUGGGAUUAGCUAGUUGGUGAGGUAAUGGCUCACCAAGGCGACGAUCCCUAGCUGGUUUGAGAGGAUGAUCAGCCACACUGGGACUGAGACACGGCCCAGACUCCUACGGGAGGCAGCAGUGGGGAAUAUUGCACAAUGGGCGCAAGCCUGAUGCAGCCAUGCCGCGUGUGUGAAGAAGGCCUUCGGGUUGUAAAGCACUUUCAGUCAGGAGGAAAGGUUAGUAGUUAAUACCUGCUAGCUGUGACGUUACUGACAGAAGAAGCACCGGCUAACUCCGUGCCAGCAGCCGCGGUAAUACGGAGGGUGCGAGCGUUAAUCGGAAUUACUGGGCGUAAAGCGUACGCAGGCGGUUUGUUAAGCGAGAUGUGAAAGCCCCGGGCUCAACCUGGGAACUGCAUUUCGAACUGGCAAACUAGAGUGUGAUAGAGGGUGGUAGAAUUUCAUGUGUAGCGGUGAAAUGCGUAGAGAUCUGAUGAUACCGAUGGCGACGCAGCCACCUGGGUCACACUGACGCUCAUGUACGAAGCAUGAGAGCCAACCAGCAUAGAUACCCUGGUAGUCCACGCCU
rnacentral:rRNA from 1 species